AUAUAAUAAUACGUAAUUGGAUCAGUGAGAUAAUGAGAGAUAUGAUAUGU
rnacentral:guide_RNA from 1 species